GGGACCGCGGGAGGAGGAGGAGAGGCGGGGCUGGUGCGGCGCCGCGCUGGGAGUGGGCUGGACAGGACGCCGCCGCGCAGACCCAGGUACCCGCGGCCGCUGCCCGCCCCACGGCGGGGAUCGGGAGCGCUAAGUGCGGCGGUUCGGCUCGGUGGUUUGUUUUUGUUUUAAUCGACACUCCCGCCGCCUCCCCGUGCAGCGCGGCCUCUCUCGGGAGGGUUGGCCGUUAUGGAGGUCCCGCCCCGGCUCUCGCAGGUGCCGCCGCCAUUGUUCCCCUCGCCUCCCUCCGCUCUGGCCCCCCGCAGCCUCUCCCAUUGGCGGCCCCGGGCUCCCCGGCUGCUCGCCCCGCUGCUGCCGUCGCUGAGUUCCGGCUCCGCCCGGCAGGGGGCGCGCCGAGCGCCGCGCCACGUCACCGCCCCCCAGCCCUCCCGAUUGGCGGGCGGGGCGUCUAUAAAGGGAGGGCGCAGGCGGCGCCCGGAUCUCUUCCGCCGCCAUUUUAAAUCCGGCUCCAUACAACGCGCCGCCGCUGCGACUCCCUCUCCGCGCCACCUGCCCCCGGCCGACAGCCCCGCCGCCAUGGAGGAUGUGAAUGAGUACAGCAACAUGGAGGAGUUCGCCGAAGGCUCCAAAAUCAACGCGAGCAAGAACCAGCAGGACGACGGUAAAAUGUUUAUUGGAGGGCUAAGCUGGGAUACGAGCAAGAAAGAUCUCACUGAAUACCUGUCUCGUUUUGGAGAGGUUGUAGACUGCACAAUUAAAACAGAUCCCGUCACGGGAAGAUCGAGGGGAUUCGGAUUUGUGCUUUUCAAAGAUGCUGCCAGUGUUGAUAAGGUCUUGGAACUUAAAGAACACAAGCUGGAUGGCAAGUUGAUAGACCCCAAAAGGGCUAAAGCUUUAAAAGGAAAGGAGCCCCCAAAAAAAGUAUUUGUCGGCGGACUGAGCCCAGAUACAUCUGAAGAACAAAUCAAAGAAUAUUUUGGAGCGUUUGGAGAGAUUGAAAAUAUUGAACUUCCUAUGGACACAAAAACAAAUGAAAGAAGAGGAUUUUGUUUUAUCACAUAUACAGAUGAAGAACCAGUAAAGAAAUUAUUAGAAAACAGAUAUCAUCAGAUUGGUUCUGGGAAGUGUGAAAUCAAAGUUGCCCAACCCAAAGAGGUAUACAGGCAGCAACAGCAACAACAGAAAGGAGGGAGGGGCGCUGCAGCUGGCGGACGAGGUGGGACUAGGGGUCGUGGCCGAGGUCAGGGCCAAAACUGGAACCAAGGAUUUAAUAACUAUUAUGAUCAAGGAUAUGGAAAUUACAAUAGUGCCUAUGGUGGUGAUCAAAACUAUAGUGGCUAUGGCGGAUAUGAUUAUACUGGGUAUAACUAUGGGAACUAUGGAUAUGGACAGGGAUAUGCAGACUACAGUGGUCAACAAAGCACGUAUGGCAAAGCAUCCCGAGGAGGUGGUAAUCACCAAAACAAUUACCAGCCAUAUUAAAAGAGGACUUGGAGAAAACAGCGGGAACUUCAUUGCAGGCCGUGUGUCACCCUGACCACGUCUCUCUCUGGGGGUCGCACGUUGCGGGCAGAGCGCAAGGCACACACCAGAAAACGCUGUCCUGUGGUGCAGAUGCUUACAGCAGCCUAUCUUGCAGGAUGACGACAUUGAAUGGAGAGUGGUCUUCUAUUGAUCUGAGAUGACUAUUUUGUAAAAGACUUUUAGUGUACAUGACACAACUGUGUCCAAUUGUAUAUAGCGGCCGAUUUAGUUUUCUUGUUUUUGCUUUGUCCUUUGCCAUCUGUGUUAUGACAAAUGUGGAUUUGUGUUUAUACAAAUUUUAUUUGUAUAAUUUCAUGUUAAAUGAUUCUCAAAAAUAAAUUACUUGUGAUUGUU